CCUACGGGGGGCUGCAGUGGGGAAUAUUGCACAAUGGGGGAAACCCUGAUGCAGCGACGCCGCGUGAGUGAAGAAGUCUUUCGGUAUGUAAAGCUCUAUCAGCAGGGAAGAAAAUGACGGUACCUGAUUAAGAAGCACCGGUUAACUACGUGCCAGCAGCCGCGGUAAUACGUAGGGGGCAAGCGUAAUCCGGAUUUACUGGGUGUAAAGGGGGCGUAGACGGCAGCACAAGUCUGGAGUGAAAUGCCGGGGCUUAACCCCGGAACUGCUUUUGAAACUGUGCAGCUAGAGUGCAGGAGAGGUAGGUGGAAUUACUAGUGUAGCGGUGAAAUGCGUAGAUAUUAGGAGGAACACCAGUGGCGAAGGCGGCUUACUAGACUGUAACUGACGUUGAGGCUCGAAAGCGUGGGGAGCAAACAGGAUUAGAUACCCUUGUAGUC
rnacentral:rRNA from 1 species